AUACGGAGGAUGCAAGCGUUAUCCGGAUUUAUUGGGUUUAAAGGGUGCGCAGGCGGGAGAUUAAGUCGGCGGUGGAAUUUUGCAGCUCUACUGUAAAAGUGGCUUCGCAAAUGGGUUUCUUGCGUGUAGAAGGAGGAAGCGGGAUUUUUGGGGUAGCGGUGGAAUGCAUAGAUAUCACGAGGAACUCCGAUUGCGCAGGCAGCUUACUAAACUACUACUGACGCUCAGGCACGAAGGCGUGGGGAUCAAACAGGAUUAGAUACCCUGGUAGUCCACGCAGUAAACGAUGAUUACUAGCUGUUUGCGAUACAAUGUAAGCGGCUGAGCGAAAGCGUUAAGUAAUCCACCUGGGGAGUACGGUCGCAAGAAUGAAACUCAAAUGAAUUGACGGGG
rnacentral:rRNA from 1 species